AACCAAAGUGUUGAGCCUAGUUCAGGGCUGCGUCCCUGUCCUAGUAAUUAAACUUUGGGACAUUAAGACAAGGUCUGGGAGGAAUAUCUGGGCAGAAGGUAUGUCUCUAUUCAUUUCCUCCUAACCUAGAAAA